AAAUUUUUUUUUGGGAAAGAUCGAUUUUAUUCUUUUUCCUCUCUCUCUCUUUCUCUCGCGAUUGAAUCCCCGAAACGAGAAAACAAUUUGGAAUCAAAAGCUUCAAGUUAGAGUACAGAGACUGAUGCAGAGGAUGAGGCUAUUGCAGCUCGGUUACUAACAGGUUGAUCACAUCAAAGGAUCAUGCUUCUGUGCAGCUCAACAUUGGUCAUCUCGAUGCUGAUGGGGUGUACACUGGUCAAUUCACUACAUUUUCUCUCUGCGGUUUUGUCCGUGCUCAGGGUGAUGCCGACAGUGGAGUCGACAAGCUAUGGCAGAAGAAGAAGGUUGAAGCCAAACAACAGUAAAACCAACAAGCUUUGGUUUCUAGUUUCUAGGUUUCUUUUUGAAAUCUAGAUGUGAACCUUUAUCUUCAUCACAAUCUAUUUCUCUUCAUCACAAUCUUCUCUUUUCACGUAUGUAACAUAUCCAUCAAAAGUUAAAUCAUGAUUCAUGAUGACUCUUAAUUAGUAUUCUCUACUACUAUAUCAAGUUUGAGUUUCAUAUUUA